rfam:Homo sapiens chromosome 12, GRCh38 reference primary assembly.
GCUGGGCGUGGUGGCUCACACCUGUAAUCCCAGCAAUUUCGGAGGCUGAGGCAGGCGGGUCACCUGAGGUCGGGAGCUCUGGACCAGCCUGACCAACAUGGAGAAACCCCGUCUCUA